GAGUUUGAUCUUGGCUCAGAUUGAACGCUGGCGGCAUGCCUUACACAUGCAAGUCGAGCGGCAGCAUGAUCUAGCUUGCUAGAUUGAUGGCGAGUGGCGAACGGGUGAGUAAUACAUCGGAACGUGCCCUGUAGUGGGGGAUAACUAGUCGAAAGAUUAGCUAAUACCGCAUACGACCUGAGGGUGAAAGUGGGGGACCGCAAGGCCUCAUGCUAUAGGAGCGGCCGAUGUCUGAUUAGCUAGUUGGUGGGGUAAAGGCCCACCAAGGCGACGAUCAGUAGCUGGUCUGAGAGGACGAUCAGCCACACUGGGACUGAGACACGGCCCAGACUCCUACGGGAGGCAGCAGUGGGGAAUUUUGGACAAUGGGCGAAAGCCUGAUCCAGCAAUGCCGCGUGUGUGAAGAAGGCCUCGGUGU
rnacentral:rRNA from 1 species